rnacentral:tRNA from 1 species
GCAGUAGUGGUUCAGUGGUGGAAUUCUCACCUUCUGUGUGAAAGACCCAGGUUCGAUUCCCAGCCAAUGCA